CCUUGGCAGACGAGACGAUACCAACUACACGCCCCACUGUGUGUUCCCUCUCAGCGUGUGUGGGAUCGGACCUGAGCCCUAGGACCAUGCCUCAGGACUACCUGGCUUGAUGACUCCUUGCUGUCCCCAGUUCACCUGGCCGUGCUGCUGCUCCAGUUCCAACUGUUCUGCCUGCAGCUAUGGAACCCUGACCUGUUCACCGGACGUGCUACCUGUCCCAGACCUGUUGUCCCAGACCUGCUGGAACCCUGACCUAUUCACCGGACGUCCUACCUGUCCCAGAGUUGCUGUCCCAGACCUGCUGGAACCCUGACCUGUUCACCGGACGUGCUACCUGUCCCAGACCUGCUGUUUUCAACUCUCUAGAGACAGCAGGAGUGGUAGAGAUACUCUCAAAGAUCGGCUAUGAAAAAGCCAACUGACACUUACUCUUGUGUUACUGACUUGUUGCACCCUCGACAACUACUAUGAUUAUUAUUAUUUGACAAUGCUGGUCAUUUAUGAACAUUUGAACAUCUAGGCCAUGUGCUGUUAUAAUCUCCACCCAGCACAGCCAGAAGAGGACUGGCCACCCCUCAUAGCCUGGUUCCUCUCUAGGUUUCUUCCUAGGUUCUGGCCUUUCUAGGGAGUUUUUCCUAGCCACCGUGCUUCUACACCUGCAUUGCUUGCUGUUUGGGGUUUUAGGCUGGGUUUCUGUACAGCACUUUGUGAUAUCAGCUGAUGUAAGAAGGGC
rnacentral:lncRNA from 1 species